UACGGUAGGGGGCAAGCGUUGUCCGGAUUUACUGGGCGUAAAGAGCGUGUGAGGCGGCCAAACAGGUCGUUGUGAAACUGGAGGCUCAACCUCCAGACGUCGACGGAAACCGUGUGGCUAGAGUCCGGGAAGAGGAGAGUGGAAUUCCGUGGUGUAGCGGUGAAAUGCGUAGAGUAAUCAGGAGGAAUACCGGUGGCGAAAGCGAACUCGUCUGGACGGCAACUGACGCUGAGGCACGAA
rnacentral:rRNA from 1 species